UCGUCCAGGUUUUCCAGUUGUGUUG
rnacentral:misc_RNA from 1 species